CUUAUUGAUGCAUUAACAUAAACUUGAUACCUAUAUCAGGCAACAACAAAUUUCGUUUUGGUGUAAGCAGCUGACGCAUUCCGAUUUGGUUAUCGGAACGUUGGCAAGUAAUAAAUGUUUGCGUAUAACAGCACAAAUGUGCAUGUAACAGCUCAGACUUUGCUUGUAACAUGCGCUUAACAGAACAUCUGGGUGAGCACAGCUGUUUCCCGCCCAAUUUAAUUCGGACUUCAAAAUGGGAAAGCAUAAAUCAAGAUGAAAUCCUGGUGGGUUUUAUGAAAGACAACCCGGACAGAGCUUUGCGGCGCUCUCAAUGCUGUUGGGCUGCCAAUCAAGGACGCAUUGGGUUGGAAAAAGGUUUGGGCAGAUUGGAAAACAAACAUCCGCAAGAAGAUGGCGAAAAACAAAUCAGAAACUCGAGCUACAGGUGGAGGGCCCUUCGCUC